GAUGAACGCUGGCGGCGUGCCUAACACAUGCAAGUCGAGCGAACAGACGAUGAGUUUGCUCCCUUGACGUUAGCGGCGCACGGGUGUGUAACACGUGGAUAACCCACCUAUAAGACUGGGAUAACCUCGGGAAACCGGAGAUAAUACCGGAUAAUAUAUUGAACCGCAUGGUUCAUUAGUGAAAGACGGCUUUUCUGUCUCUAAUAGCUGGAUUCGCGCUGCAUUAGCUAGUUGGUAAGUUAACGGCUUACCAAGGCUACUAGGCGUAGCCGACCUGAGAGGGUGAUCGGCAACACUGGAACUGAGACACGGUCCAGACUCCUACGGGAGGCACCAGUAGGGAAUCUUCCGCAAUGGGCGAAAGCAUGACGGAGCAACGCCGCGUGAGUGAUGAAGGUCUUCGGAUCGUAAAACUCUGUUAUUAGGGAAGAACAAAUGUGUAAGUAACUAUGCACGUCUUGACGGUACCUAAUCAGAAAGCCACGGCUAACUACGUG
rnacentral:rRNA from 1 species